AUGGCGACAGCUGCCGUCCUUGCGAGCCGCGAGGGCAAGGGCCGCCACUAUAUCCCAAGCUCCGUCAUACUCGACCUCUUUGGCCAAAUCGGCCCCAGCCGCAACGCCACCACCGCCACGUCCAAGACGAGUACCGGCCUGCCCAUCGCGGUGACUUUCUGCGCCGCCCGCCCGCCAGUCCUCUCGCACUUCUCCUUCAGCAGCGCGGCAUGCCCGGAACCCGAGGGUUUGUCCCUGGCGCCCAAGGUCAUCAGCGCGGAUGCUGACCUCGUUCUCCUCCGCGUCCCCGUCCAACCCUUUGGCGACUCUAAUCCGAUGUUUAGCGACUACUUCGUCUACAGGGCGCACUCCCAAAUCCCAAAGCUGGACCUGCUCCCGAAGUCUGCUCCAUAUUACUUUGGAGAUAAGGAGAUCGCCAUACUGAGCUGCGGCGACGGCAAGUACGCUGUGGCCUCCCUUCAAACCUUGGGUAUGUGUACCUUUAAGCUUCACGUGUACCGGUCUAGACCUGAUGGCAAGCCAGGGAGUUGGACCUCCAAGCUGCUGGAUGUAGAGCUGAAUGUGAAGGAGCUGCCGAGGGACAACUCGUCCUCGAUCUCUCUCGCAUCGCAGAUGCUUACGUAUCAUCGGACAACAAAGGUGAUCACGCUUGGUGGUGCUAAAGGUACCGUUGGCUGGGUCGAUCUCUGGCGAGGCAUCCUUCUCUGCGACGUGCUGGAAAUUAGCCCCACGCUCCGUGACGUGCCUCUGCCUUCUGUCUCUAAGAGUGAUUGGAGGUUAUUCCUUGACUGCUGCCCCUACUAUUUCCGUGACAUCAUUGUCGACCAGAGCAAAAGCACUAUCAAGUAUGUCAAGAUGAACCUGCACGGUGGUGCCUGGAGGGCCACCACAUGGAGCAUGCCUAUCCCGGUCACUUCAUUGAAUGGCUGGCAAUUUCAAUGCUCCGCCCUGUCGACUGAGAUUGAUAUUCCUGCUGAUGUCAAAAGGCAUUAUAAGCUGUUGCAUAAGCUCAUGAGCGGAAGCGCCAACAAGGAGGGGAAUGCUGCAGAGGAAGUCUUGUCCCUGGAAUCUCUACGCAUGGCUUACCCUACCUUGAGCAUCACGGAUGGUGAUGAUAUUGUUUACUUGUUGGCCAAGGGCACCGGCAUGAGGGCUAUGCCGACAGUAUUCUCUGUUGAUCUCAGUAUGCGGACUCUGCGAGGAGUGGCGAAGCUACCCAAGAGGCACCUUGGUUUUAUGCGCUACUUCCUUGCCAGUGGAAUCUCCAAACAUAUCAGGACUCCAGGUAGAAGUGAUUCCCUUGGGCAAACUGAGGUGCAAGAUACGAAUACUUGUGGUCAAGAAAGCAAAAGUGACUCCGUUGAGCAAACUGAGGUGCAAGAUGCGAAUACUUGUGAUCGAGAAAGUGGGUUUGCUUGA
rnacentral:rRNA from 1 species